AUUGAACGCUGGCGGCAUGCCUUACACAUGCCAGUCGAACGGCAGCACGGGUGCUUGCACCUGGUGGCGAGUGGCGAACGGGUGAGUAAUACAUCGGAACAUGUCCUGUAGUGGGGGAUAGCCCGGCGAAAGCCGGAUUAAUACCGCAUACGAUCUACGGAUGAAAGCGGGGGCCCUUCGGGCCUCGCGCCAUAGGGUUGGCCGAUGGCUGAUUAGCUAGUUGUUGGGGUAAAGGCCUACCAAGGCGACGAUCAGUAGCUGGUCUGAGAGGACGACCAGCCACACUGGGACUGAGACACGGCCCAGACUCCUACGGGAGGCAGCAGUGGGGAAUUUUGGACAAUGGGCGAAAGCCUGAUCCAGCAAUGCCGCGUGUGUGAAGAAGGCCUUCGGGUUGUAAAGCACUUUUGUCCGGAAAGAAAUCCUUGGCCCUAAUACGGUCGGGGGAUGACGGUACCGGAAGAAUAAGCACCGGCUAACUACGU
rnacentral:rRNA from 1 species